GAUGAACGCUGGCGGCGUGCCUAAUACAUGCAAGUCGAGCGAACAGACGAGGAGCUUGCUCCUCUGACGUUAGCGGCGGACGGGUGAGUAACACGUGGAUAACCUACCUAUAAGACUGGGAUAACUUCGGGAAACCGGAGCUAAUACCGGAUAAUAUAUUGAACCGCAUGGUUCAAUAGUGAAAGACGGUUUUGCUGUCACUUAUAGAUGGAUCCGCGCCGCAUUAGCUAGUUGGUAAGGUAACGGCUUACCAAGGCAACGAUGCGUAGCCGACCUGAGAGGGUGAUCGGCCACACGGGAGCUGAGACACGCUCCAGACUCCUACGGGAGGCAGCAGUAGGGAAUCGUCCGCAGUGGGCGAAAGCCUGACGGAGCAAGGCCGCGUGAGUGAUGAAGGUCUUCGGAUCGUAAAACUCUGUUAUUAGGGAAGAACAAAUGUGUAAGUAACUAUGCACGUCUUGACGGUACCUAAUCAGAAAGCCACGGCUAACUACGUG
rnacentral:rRNA from 1 species